rnacentral:tRNA from 2 species
GCGCCCGUAGCUCAGCUGGAUAGAGCGCCGGACUUCGAAUCCGUAGGCCGCAGGUUCGAAUCCUGCCGGGCGUA